CACUUUUCUCGGUUUGGUGAUAUGUUGCAAUUAUCUAGGAGUUCCAAAGUCAAACAUUUGAUUUGGCUUACAACUACUUGAAGCAUUUGGAGACUUAGGAAUAAUAUUAUUUUCAGGGGGCUGUAGCUGAUAGUGAUAGUUUGGUAGAUAAUAUCAAACUUAUUUCUUGGUUAUGGUUUAUAGGACGCUCGGGGAAUUCUUGUAAUUAUAAUUAUUCCAACUGGUGUACUAAUCCGUUAGAUAGCCUUUCAAGCAUCUAAUUGAUUUUUGUGGUUCGAGUUUUAACACUUGAACACUCGUUUAUUA
rnacentral:lncRNA from 1 species